AGGUGCUUGCUUAGGGUGAUGUUGUAAAGAAAUCCCUACAAGUAAUGAAAAGGGAGUUGCCUCUGUUGGCGGUGUGCAAGCCUGAUUCUAUUAUAGAAAAACAGGAAGCCUAAAGCCAUCAACGUGACGCCCACCUGAAGCAAACACGGGAUUUUCUUGAAGACCUCUCCCCUUCUGCGAGCACUCU
rnacentral:other from 1 species